ACGGGUGCGUAACACGUGGGUAACCUGCCCUCCAAAGGGGGAUAACCCGCCGAAAGGCGGGCUAAUACCGCAUGAUAUUCCGGUGGCCUCGGCCGCCGGAAUCAAAGCUCGAAAGGGCGUUGGAGGAGGGGCCCGCGGCCGAUUAGCUUGUUGGCGAGGUAACGGCUCACCAAGGCUUUGAUCGGUAGCCGGUCUGAGAGGAUGGCCGGCCACACUGGAACUGAGACACGGUCCAGACUCCUACGGGAGGCAGCAGUGGGGAAUCUUGCGCAAUGGGCGAAAGCCUGACGCAGCGACGCCGCGUGGGGGAUGAAGCUUCUCGGAGUGUAAACCCCUUUCGACCCGGACGAAACGCCCGCAAGGGCUUGACGGUACGGGUAUAAGAAGCCCCGGCUAACUACGUGCCAGCAGCCGCGGUAAGACGUAGGGGGCCAGCGUUGCUCGGAAUUACUGGGCGUAAAGGGUUCGUAGGCGGUGCGGUAAGUCGGAAGUGAAAUCUCUGGGCUUAACUCAGAGGCUGCUUUCGAAACUGCCGUGCUCGAGUGCGGGAGAGGCGAGUGGAAUUGCAGGUGUAGCGGUGAAAUGCGUAGAUAUCUGCAGGAACACCCGUGGCGAAGGCGGCUCGCUGGACCGCAACUGACGCUGAGGAACGAAAGCUAG
rnacentral:rRNA from 1 species